ACCAGACUCCUACGGGAGGCAGCAGUGGGGAAUAUUGCACAAUGGGGGAAACCCUGAUGCAGCGACGCCGCGUGAGUGAAGAAGUAAUUCGUUAUGUAAACUUCUAUCAGCAGGGAAGAAAAUGACGGUACCUGACUAAGAAGCCCCGGCUAACUACGUGCCGGCAGCCGCGGUAAUACGUAGGGGGCGAGCGUUAUCCGGAUUCACUGGGUGUAAAGGGAGCGUAGACGGCCAUGCAAGCCAGGGGUGAAAGCCCGGGGCCCAACCCCGGGACUGCCCUUGGAACUGUGCGGCUAGAGUGCGGGAGGGGCAGGCGGAAUUCCUGGUGUAGCGGUGAAAUGCGUAGAUAUCAGGAGGAACACCGGCGGCGAAGGCGGCCUGCUGGACCGCGACUGACGUUGAGGCUCGAAAGCGUGGGGAGCGAACAGGAUUAGAUACCCUGGUAA
rnacentral:rRNA from 1 species